AGUUUAUCAGAAAAGUAAGGAAAUUAACGAAGAUGAAAAAAAUUCAAAGGUAAAAUAACAAAUCAUAUUUUGCCACAUCAUUUGACACCAGAAUAUUUGUUCUUCUCCACGAUCUCCUAUCUUCACCGUUUCUACUCCACGAUUUUCAUCUAACUGCUUCAUCUGCAUCUUUAAAAGACUCGAAAUUGCUUUUUCUCUCCCUUGACGAACUCACUAUCUUCUUCUCACUUGUGCUGACUCUCUUUCUCAAAUCCAAAAACUCAUUCAAUCACUAUUGGAGUUCGCUAUGUAUACAACAUCUAAGAAGAGACAUUGGCAUUUAGCAUAUGCCAUUUAGCAUAAGUGCCUAAAUAAUUCUUUAUUUUUUCUUCUUCGAGAGAUGAACGAUGUUGGGCAGAGAAGCUGCUGGUUGGAACUUGGUUCAACGAAAUCUUCAAUUUAGAAUGAGGAACAAACGUUCUAUACGGUUAUCACUAAAUGUGAAUUAUAUGUUGCAUUAGAUAUUGCAAAAAAAGUAACUUGAAGUUUAUUAUUUUAAAAAUUGUAACAAGUUGUGUGACUUUUUUUUAGAAGAAUAAAAAACAUGUAUUUCUUCAACAUGAUUAAUUUUUU
rnacentral:sRNA from 1 species